rnacentral:misc_RNA from 2 species
GGGGUGUGGUGUUUGAGAAUUGGAUAGUGGUUGCGAGCAUCAAUUGGAUGCGCUGCCUUUUGGUGGCGUGUUCUGUUGUGCAAUUUUAUUCUUUGGUUUUUGUGU